CGAGCGUAGCGAGAGAACGUUGCCGCAGGCAACGGCCCGAAGGGCGAGGCGCUUUAGCGCCGAGUUAUCCUUCCCCCACCGCUG
rnacentral:sRNA from 1 species